rnacentral:rRNA from 1 species
UGGCUCAGGACGAACGCUGGCGGCGUGCUUAACACAUGCAAGUCGAACGUGAUUUUUAUGGAAGAACCUUCGGGGACGGAAGUAAAAUGAAAGUGGCGAACGGGUGAGUAACACGUGAGCAACCUACCUUACACAGGGGGAUAGCCGUUGGAAACGACGAUUAAUACCGCAUGAGACCACAAUACUGCAUGGUAUAGGGGUCAAAGAUUUAUCGGUGUAAGAUGGGCUCGCGUCUGAUUAGCUAGUUGGAAGGGUAAAGGCCUACCAAGGCGACGAUCAGUAGCCGGUCUGAGAGGAUGAACGGCCACACUGGAACUGAGACACGGCCCAUACUCCUACGGGAGGCAGCAGUGGGGAAUCUUGCACAAUGGACGAAAGUCUGAUGCAGCAAUUUCGCGUGAAGGAUGAAGCAUUACGGUGUGUAAACUUCUUUUUUGGAGGAAGACGAAUGACGGUACUUCAAGAAUAAGAGACGGCUAACUACGUGCCAGCAGCCGCGGUAAUACGUAGGUCUCAAGCGUUAUCCGGAUUUACUGGGCGUAAAGUGUCCGUAGUCUGAUCUGUAAGUCUGUUUUCAAAUCCUACGACUCAAUCGUAGAAAGGGAAUGGAUACUGCAGAUCUAGAAGUAUCUAGGGGUUAGUGGAAUUUCCGGUGGAGCGGUGAAAUGCGUUGAUAUCGGAAGGGAACGCCGAAAGCGAAAGCAGCUAACUAUAGAAUACUUGACGAUGAGGGACGACAGUUUGGGGAGCAAACAGGAUUAGAUACCCU